UUAGUACUCACAUUAGAAAAUAACUAAACACUGAGCGCCCAUAACAAUUGAUACUUUUAAAACAAAAUAAAAAUUAAAUAAAAAAUAUAUAAUUAAUCAUGUUUUUGAAACUUACGCUUAUAACAUUACUUACUGCAAUAAUCAUUGCAACAAAAAGUGAUCCAAAGGCUGCAAAAUGCUUACGUCCUGGUCAAACAUGUUCGAGUAAUGAUCAAUGUUGUUCAAAUAAAUGUGAUGGCAUAUGCAUGCAAGUAGUUAAAAGUUUGCCUGAUUAUUUAAUGCUAAUGCGCAGUGUAAUUCCUGGGUUUUGUCUUUCAACAGGCGCUCAAUGCAAUAUCAACAACAAUUGCUGUUCUAGCAAAUGUGUUCGUGCUGAAAGGGAAACUUAUUAUACUUGCAUUGAUAACGUAUCUACUUCAACUGCUAAUAACACUAAUAAUAAUAAUGAUGAGACGACAAUCGAAAAAAUUGAAACUGAAACUUGCCGAGCAAAUGGAUUACAAUGCAUUGAAGUAGAACACUGUUGCUCUAAAUUCUGUGUAGCGAGAUACUUAGUUGGAGUGGUAUAUAUGUUUUGUGCACCAUUACCAAAUCCAUCAGCUGCUAGUCAAACACAAAAAAUUACUGAUGUCACACCAUCGCUAGAAAUGGCUGUUACAGGUCCAAGAUGUUCUGUUUAUGAAGAAAACACACUGAUAAAAUGAGAUUGACUCCUGUAGUUUAUUGCCUGCAUCGAUGAAUUCAAUUUAAAUAUUUUUGCUGUGAUAGUGUAUUAUGAUUAAAAAUAUUCUAAUAUCGUAUGUGUUAUAAAGAUGAAGAUUGUUGUUCCCGUGCUUGUUUUACUUAUUUCGGUCAUUUGAGAAAAGUUUGUUUUUGAAAAGAUCUUUAAUUAAAAAAUAAUUCAAAUAAACCAUAACUUGAUCAUAAGGGUUGACCUACCAAACAAAAUUUUAUAAAAAUAAUAUUAUUUUUCGUAUUUUAUCUUUAAUAUGCUUGUAACAUAUCCAUUUUGCCUGACUUUCAUUUAAAGUAUUCAAACUUGACUCAGGCAUUCAAACUAGGUGCAAUAGAAAAUUUAUCAAUAUAAAUUUAGAAAGUUCCAAAUUUCUUUAUAUAUAUAUAUAUAUAUAUAUAUAUAUAUAUAUAUAUAUAUAUAUAUUAGGGUGGGUAAAAAAAAUCAACAAUUUGGUUUUUUACAAAUGCGAUCGAAAAAUGGGUUGCUAGACACCUUAAAAAAAUUCUCACUAAAUAUGAGCUCUUAAUUUUAAUAGGAAGAUCCUCCGCAUCGCAGUUUUCUAUUUUUUUCUCAAUCCAAUAGAAAAAAAUACAUACCUCAUCAUUAAUGGAUUGUACAAAAAAAUGUUCGAGAAGAAUUUUGUAGGAAAUUGUAUGCUCCACAAAAAAGGUAUCCUAUAUUUUUUCCGUAAACCUCACCAUUCCAAUGAUAUUGACGAUUAAAGUUUAAUCAUUUUAAGACAAAUUUCAUUAUUGUUUAUGAAUUUUAUAACUCAACAAUAACUGACUAUUAUAAAAUGCGCAAUACUAAUUUUUGUAGGUAAUUAACUGCUCUUAAAACAAUAAAUUGUGCAUUAUUAAUGGCUUAAUUAAUUAUUUGUUGAUAAAAAAAGCAAAGUUUUCGUCACAAAUAUAUUAUGAUAUAUUUCAGUUUUGGAGAAAAAAAAUGUCCAAUUAAUUAUAGAACAGUUUUUUAUUUCAAUUUUAAACUGAGUUAUUAAUUUUCAUCAAUUUUUUAUUAUAAGUGGGGUAAUUUUUUCGAUGCUCUUUAACAACUUGCAAUAAGAUAUGAAAUACAAAACAAAAAUUUUCUACAGAAGAAAUUUUUCCUAGGACAAUAUCUAGCUAUAGUGGAAAAAUUUUGAAAGCCGUUUUGAAGACAAUAUCGAAAAAAAAACAACAACAUAAUCGUGAUUUCUCAUAAUUAAAAAUAAAAUGUUUAGAAUUAUUGAAAAAAUAAUUUGCAAAAAUUUUGAAAAUAAAAGUUUAAUAAUACUUAUAUUAAUGACAACAAAUGAAAUUCAUGAAUUGAAUUAAAAUUUUUCUGUAUCUCAUCAAAAGCUCUUAAAAUUAGUACACAUUGAAGUUUGAUGAUGAAUAUCUUUUGAACGCUUAAUUUAAUCGUCAAAACAUAAGACACCAUUUUUAUAGAGCAGUUAAUUUCCUACAAAAAUUAGUAUUGAGCAUUUUAUAAUAGUCAGUUAUUGUCGAGUUAUAAAAUUCAUAAACAAUAAUGAAAUUUGUCUUAAAAUGAUUAAACUUUAAUCGUCAAUAUCAUUGGAAUGGUGAGGUUUACGGAAAAAAUAUAGGAUACCUUUUUUGUAGAGCAUACAAUUUCCUACAAAAUUCUUCUCGAACAUUUUUUUAAACAAUCCAUUAAUGAUGAGGUAUGUAUUUUUUUCUAUUGGAUUGAGAAAAAAAUAGAAAACUGCAAUGCAGAGGAUCUUCCUAUUAAAAUUAAGAGCUCAUAUUUAGUGAGAAUUUUUUUAAGGUAUCUAGCAACCCAUUUUUCGAUCGCAUUUGUAAAAAAACAAAUUGUUGAUUUUUUUUACCGACCCUAUAUAUAUAGAUAUAUAUAUAUAUAUAUAUAUAUAUAUAUAUAUAUAUAUAUAUAUAUAUAUAUAUAUAUAUAUAUAUAUAUAUAUAUAAUGUACUAUAUAGUGUAUAUACAUUAUGUAUACAUAUAUGUACUACACAACAUACACGAAAAAACGAAAACAGACUUGAAUUGGAAUGUCUGUCAAUAAAGAGUCGUCGAAUUUAUUAUACCUCUUGCUAUUUUUACAAACUAUUAGAAAUUGGUAAACCCUAUUAUUUACGUGAAUUAUUCUAAGAAGACCCUUCUGUAAGACACUCUGAGAGACUAGCAGCCAAGAAAAAUAAUAUUCUCUUUGCUGCCGAAUUUCAGUACAACUCGAUAUGAAUCUUUCUUCGUCGUUACAGUGAUACGACUUUGGGAAGAAUUACCAGAGGAUAUUUUUUAUUCGUCAACCUUAGAAGUUUUUAAAAAUAAGAUGUUUGAUUAUUUAUUUAAUCUCAAUGUUUAAAUCCUUAGCUUAUAGUGAAUUUUUUUAAUUUUAUUGUUAGUCUUUACAUUUUUAGCGAACUUUCUUAACUUAGAACUUACUCGAUUUAGAUUUACGUUAUUCUUAACGACUCUUAAAUUUUUGUUAGUUAAUUCUUCAUCAAUUUGAAUUUUCGUAUUCAUCUAUAGUUUUGUAUCAUGAAAAAGUUUAUCUAUCUUUAUAUAAUAUUUAUAUACAAAAUACCUAAAGUGUAAGAAGUUUAUAUUGCACAGUAAUGUGGAAUUCUUUGUAUAUUUUUUCUUUUGCCAUUCGGCGUUAGCCUUCGCAUAAAUGUUAAAAACUAAACUAAACUAAUUCUAAAAAGAUGAUUUGAUCCUCUUUACCCUCGUGUAGGAUUUAGAGGCUCACAUCAUCUUUUUAAUUUUGACGCGGGUAUUUUUAACACCGCUCUUUUUACGGUGUGAAUAUUUUAAUAAUCUGAAAUAACAAUGACUGUAAACGAAAAUUUUUUCUGGUUUAAUUUUAAAUUAAUUAAAUUUUCAAUAAUGAAAUAAAAAUAAAAACAACAAAAGAAAUAAGUUUCUACAAUAGUUGGCAAAGCGAACGAAUGAUAAGUUAAAAAUCCACAAUAGCUAUGAUCGACAAUUAAUAUCUUUAGAAAAGUAAAUAGAUAAAUGUGAAUUUGUUGUUAAAACAAAUGAAAUGAGUUGAGUGAAAAAUUGUUUAUAUUUGUAUAGAAUGGUUUAAUUAAUAGAAUCAUAUCGUCGUUUAAUAAUCAUUGAAUAAUAACUUGUACGUAAGAAUCCAAAGAGCUAUAAUUUGAAAAUGUAGCUGACCGUUACGAAGAAAAAACUAUGAAGCCAACAGCUUACACUGCAUGUAUAAAAUAAAGGAGCAAGCUUAGAAUUCUCAGCAAUUCAAACAUAGUAUUAAAGAUAACCGCUUGUAUAUAGGGAUAAUAACAAUGGAAGCUAUAGUAAAUAUUUCUAAAAAUUUCCAUUCAAUAAUUAUUAAUAGUAAACUUAAAAGUAAAUGAUGAAAAUCAAAAAUAUUUCGUUUUUAUAAAUCCUGAAUAUCUAAGUUAUGUUGACCAAUAUGUACUGAAUUAACGUAAGGCAACCGUUACCUGUUGUUAAACGUCAUUUCUAGCCCGGCAGAUGAUUCAACUAUUUUUUAUUAUAUUUUACUUAUUAAUUAAUCUAAAUAAAUUAAUUAGCCAUAACCUAAUAAUUUAUUAGUUUUAUUGUACAUUGUUUGAAAUUUAUAUUCAAUAAAAUAAUAUACAAUUUUAUAAGAA